CAGCCCGUUGUCAUCAGUGGAAGGGCCAUGCAUGGAAUGAGUGUGGGACACGCCAAGAAAUCUGCUUAUGCGGUGUCACUUCAUGCAGGGCCGGCUCUACCGUUUUUGCCGCCCCAAACACUGGAAAAACCUGUCAAUGCCGAAUCGCCACAGCGGACAGAAGGAGAGAGAAACUGCCACCUAAUUGCCGCGGUGGUGGAAACUCUGCCGCCCCAAGCACUUGCUUGGAACGCUGGUGCCUAGAGCCGGCCCUGACUUCAUGGCUGCGAUGCCUUGGGACACAGCACUACCAGGACAUUUCCAUCAGGGAAGGUUUAAAUACCUCAGGAUGAGCCUGGGCUGAAUUUUGCAUUUGAAAAAAACGGCAACCAGAGAAGACUAUUUGUGUGUUCAAGAGAAAAUUGAGAAUUGGUUGGAGGUGAAAUCAGGGAAGAGAUGAAAAUGAGGGGUCUGAUGAAAAUCAAGGAAGUGAUAUGGGGCCAAAAAAUGGCAGGCUCAUUCCACGUGGAAACACCUGGUUGUUAAUUGCAACCUGGAUGUACCUGACUCAUUCAACAGCACAGCAGGUGAGGUCUACCCAAGCUAUAUGCAGCAGUAGGGCAGGUGGGGUCAACCUGGAAAUGCCUAGUGCAUGCAUAACAGCAUGUUCUACCUAAAAGGCUGGGAAUGGCAGCAGUCUUGCUUUAACUGGACCCAGCUGGCUCAUGUAUAGUCCCAGCAAGUAAGUUCUGUCCAGACUAAUCUACUCUGCCUGUUGCAAGGGGAUCCACCACCAUAGCAUCUAGGCACCCACCACAAAUUAAAAAGACUCGCGCUGCAUUUGCCCAUAGUCAAUGUUGCUCUUCUUCUCCUAGAUCAAGUUGUUUUUGAUUCCUACAGUUUAUUGUAAUGCUUAUUAUUGAUUCCUUCUCGGUGUCCCUGUUGCCUGGCUCUGCCUAGAUCAUUGGGUAACAUACAGCAAGCAGAGUCCAGCUAGGAGAUACUCUAAUGGAGGUCUCCAGGAGCAGGCAAACAGUUAACUUGCUUUCCAGCUAAGAGAACAGCUGGAGCCUUAUUUGCCGAUUUCUCUGCCUGCCUGCAAUGCAACCUAUUUUGUGAACUGCUGCCAGGAGUAAUCAGGUAAGUGCGGGGAGAAAUGCUCUGGCUCAGCCAGUUCUUUGAUUCCAGAGUCUGAUUCAGCUGCAUUUUGUAAUUGCAGAUAUUGAACAAGGCAGCGUCCCAGCGGGGAAGAGAUGAUGCUCUUCUCCUCUGAACAUGAAGAGCUCUCACAGCACCAGCCUUGGCUCUAAACCUUCCCCAGAAGAUGAAUUGAUGCCUUUGAGAGGGUCUUUGUGAUUCACACCUUCCCGAUGGCUUUUCGCAGACCGCUUUUGCUUUCAUCUGACACGCCAUCCCUUUGGGCCCAGCUGUUUAAGCUGCUGCCUUCUGAAUGAACCUGAUGAAUCAGCGAGCCAAGAAUGGAUUUCUACGAUAUUGGCAAUUCAAGUGCAAGGCUGGAGGAAAAAAACGAUUAAAAAGGCAGAUUUAAUUAACAGAUUGCUGUCAAAUGGGGAGACAGUAGACUCCUCCACCUCUGCCGACAUCCUGGGUAGGGCAGAGUUGGAGAGAUUCUAGUUCUUUUCAAGCCAACACUGCUGAUAUAUGCUUAGGAGUGCAGGAAAUGGGUGGUGGAUCUGGAGUGUAACAAUAUGUAAUUAUUAGUCUUUGCAUUUCAGGGAUUAUAUUGCAGUGCAUUUGGGCUUGCAAAUUCUUGGCAUGUCCAAAUGCAGUAAGGGAACAUUUAUGGAUUCGCUGUUAUCUUUUCUCCUCUGCCUCCUCCCUAUUGUAUCCACUUGUUGACUCUCAUCUUACGUUUGUAUUAUAUGCUGUUUGAGGCAGAGAGUAUUGUUUCACGGUGUGUGUAUCAUAGUACAAUAGGGUCCUGAUCCAUGAUUGGGACCUCUAGGUAUUAUUGUACUAAAUAACAACAGGGCUGUAAUAACUGGAGAACUAUGUUGCUCAUCCGAUUUCAUGGUAUGAUGAAGCCCCGAUCUCAUUA